UGGGGAAUUUUGGACAAUGGGGGAAACCCUGAUCCAGCCAUCCCGCGUGUGCGAUGAAGGCCUUCGGGUUGUAAAGCACUUUUGGCAGGAAAGAAACGUCGCGGGUUAAUACCCCGCGAAACUGACGGUACCUGCAGAAUAAGCACCGGCUAACUACGUGCCAGCAGCCGCGGUAAUACGUAGGGUGCAAGCGUUAAUCGGAAUUACUGGGCGUAAAGCGUGCGCAGGCGGUUCGGAAAGAAAGAUGUGAAAUCCCAGAGCUUAACUUUGGAACUGCAUUUUUAACUACCGGGCUAGAGUGUGUCAGAGGGAGGUGGAAUUCCGCGUGUAGCAGUGAAAUGCGUAGAUAUGCGGAGGAACACCGAUGGCGAAGGCAGCCUCCUGGGAUAACACUGACGCUCAUGCACGAAAGCGUGGGGAGCAAACAGGAUUAGAUACCCUGGUAGUCCACGCCCUAAACGAUGUCAACUAGCUGUUGGGGCCUUCGGGCCUUGGUAGCGCAGCUAACGCGUGAAGUUGACCGCCCGGGGAGUACGGUCGCAAGAUUAAAACUCAAAGGAAUUGACGGGGUCAUAGCUGUUUCC
rnacentral:rRNA from 1 species